GAUGAACGCUGGCGGCGUGCUUAACACAUGCAAGUCGAACGGAAAGGCUCCUGCUUGCAGGGGUACUCGAGUGGCGAACGGGUGAGUAACACGUGGGUGAUCUGCCCUGCACUUCGGGAUAAGCCUGGGGAACUGGGUCUAAUACCGGAUAGGACCACAUUUUGGAUGGUGUGGUGGAAAGUUUUUCGGUGUGGGAUGAGCUCGCGGCCUAUCAGCUUGUUGGUGGGGUAAUGGCCUACCAAGGCGUCGACGGGUAGCCGGCCUGAGAGGGUGUACGGCCACAUUGGGACUGAGAUACGGCCCAGACUCCUACGGGAGGCAGCAGUGGGGAAUACUGCACAAUGGGCGCAAGCCUGAUGCAGCGACGCCGCGUGGGGGAUGACGGCCUUCGGGUUGUAAACUCCUUUCGCUAGGGACGAAGCGUUUUUGUGACGGUACCUGGAGAAGAAGCACCGGCUAACUACGUG
rnacentral:rRNA from 1 species